rnacentral:rRNA from 1 species
CUACGGGGGGCUCCAGUGGGGAAUUUUGGACAAUGGGCGCAAGCCUGAUCCAGCCAUGCCGCGUGAGUGAAGAAGGCCUUCGGGUUGUAAAGCUCUUUCAGGUGGGAAGAAACGGUUAAUGUUAAUAGCAUUGACUACUGACGGUACCACCAGAAGAAGCACCGGCUAACUACGUGCCAGCAGCCGCGGUAAUACGUAGGGUGCGAGCGUUAAUCGGAAUUACUGGGCGUAAAGGGUGCGCAGGCGGUUUUGUAAGCCAGAUGUGAAAUCCCCGGGCUCAACCUGGGAACUGCAUUUGGGACUGCAAGGCUAGAGUACGGCAGAGGGGGGUAGAAUUCCACGUGUAGCAGUGAAAUGCGUAGAUAUGUGGAGGAAUACCGAUGGCGAAGGCAGCCCCCUGGGUCGAUACUGACGCUCAGGCACGAAAGCGUGGGGAGCAAACAGGAUUAGAUACCCUCGUAGUC